rnacentral:tRNA from 3 species
GGGGCGUUAGCUCAGUUGGUAGAGCAGCUGACUCUUAAUCAGCGGGUCAUAGGUUCGAGUCCUAUACGCCCUACCA